rnacentral:rRNA from 1 species
UACGUAGGUGACAAGCGUUGUCCGGAUUUACUGGGCGUAAAGCGCACGUAGGCGGAUAUUUAAGUCAGGGGUGAAAUCCCAGAGCUCAACUCUGGAACUGCCUUUGAUACUGGGUAUCUUGAGUAUGGAAGAGGUUAGUGGAAUUGCGAGUGUAGAGGUGAAAUUCGUAGAUAUUCGCAAGAACACCAGUGGCGAAGGCGGCUCACUGGCCCGGUACUGACGCUGAGGUGCGAAAGCGUGGGGAGCAAACAGG